AACAAAUCAGAGAUUAUUCAAACACUUCAAUUUGUUUUCUAAUUUUUCACAGACAAGUCAAAAAGACCUAAAACCGGAGGUGGUCAUGCUGUCCAAGAUACAAACACCAUUGGAAACAAGAAAUAUCUUUAAAAAAGAUAAACGGCAUAGUUUAAAUGCUGGUGGCUUUAAUGUAAAACUGCUGGUGAAAUAAAUUAAGAUAUAAUGCGUUUCAGCAUGGAUAACAGAAUUAUAUCAGUUUGAAUCAUUUUUAAUCAGGAAUUAGAUUUUAUCUAUGUAUCAUUUGAAAAGAUUCAUCUGCUUAUUCAGCUUACAUUCAAUCUUAACUUUGUUUCGUUUUUAACUGCAUAUCUGCAAUUUGCAUUUACCGCUACAUUGACCAAUCACAUACUUCAUCUUGUCCAGUUGGCAUUCAUCAGCCCAUAACUUCCAACUGAAAGCAGUUCAAUGCUAAAAUGAUAACAUCAUAAAAACCCCCAUUGUUAAGCAUGUGCAGCUAAGUUGUCUCAACCCUAGGGUGUCAGAGGUUGUGAGUAUCCCUGUCCCUGUUCGCUUGGGUAUAAUAAAUCCCUUAUUGUAUGGGUCUUGAACUAAUCAUUAUCUUGACUUUUCCACAGUUUUCAGUGUUUCUCCAAAACCUAAACUUACAGUGUAUAACUCUUCUAACUUCCAAAGGAUAAAACAACACAAACAAUACAAUAACACAUGUUUAACUGUUAACAGUUAUAGUGUAAAAAUGUGAUAUGAACUCAUUGUACCACUGACAAAAUUUGAAAUGAUGAUUUCUUGAUUUUAAAAACAUUUCUUGGAUUUAAAAUUUCAGGAGCCAUUUGAAUAUGUUGUUUUGUAUAUUUAAGGAUACAAAACAACAUAUUCAAAUGUACCAUUUCAUGAAAGAUAUACAAGUACAUGCAAAUUACUAGCACUCCUUAGUGAUUGAGGACCUUAUGUGUAAAGAUUCCUUAUGUAACAAAGAUGAGGUGGGAGUGAUAGUUAAUCACAGGUAUGGUUAUGUAGUUAUGUAAACUGAAAAUGUAUUAGCGACAACACUAUAAUAUAGCUUCCACAGCAGAGAAAGGUUCUACCAUAGCAGGGAGUUUGAAGAGGUAUAAAAUUCAAAUAUUCUGUUCAUUAUUUUGAAGCCAUUACUGAUCAAUGGACAAAGAGUAAAUGCAGAGUAUAAUAUAUUUUGUAUAACAGGGGGAGUGCUGGUACUUAAACUGGGACACGAACCUUAGAUCUCCAUCGCUUGAGGGAGACAUGGUCUAAUCAUAAACUGGGACACGAACCUUAGAUCUCCAUCGCUGAGUGAGACAUAUUCUAAUCAUAAACUGGGACACGAACCUUAGAUCUCCACCGCUGAGUGAGACAUAUUCUAAUCAUAAACUGGGACUCGAACCUUAUUCUCAGACUCUUGAGUGAGACAUGUUGAAACCAUAAACUGGGACUCGAACCUUAAAUCUCAAACUCCUGAGGGAGACAUGCUCUAAAUAUAAACUUAAGAGUUAGAUUUGUAGCGAUGGGAACAUAAUUCAUAAGCUAUAAAUUUCUUAAUGUUGAUAAAUAAUUGAUUUAUUUUCACAGGAUAUAGGCACUGAAAAUGAAAACGAUGAUAUUCUAAGCAUGGAAAUGCAAGACAGAGAAGGCAGAAUCAGAAAUCCUGAAAGAUGUCAAUAAACUGUGGGUACAAAUGAUGAAGAAUGAACUAGCUUUAUACCAGCCCGCACGGAGGAAGAAAUCACGAAUCAUGAGGAAUGGUACCAAACAUAUCUACACAUAAAUGAGAGAAAGAAAGUAUAAGUAAAUGGAAGUCCAAAAGCAGAUGAAAGCCACAGACUUGACACAACUGCAAAAAGGUCAGCAUGCUAGCAGAACUGGAUGAAUACAGUCAUAGACACCUGGAGCUUGGCCACAGACUUCUACAGAAACCAGUCUCUUGAAAAUGUUGAACCAGAUGUGAUUCCUGAUCCUACAGAUCUCAGCCAAAGGAUGGUGGGAUAGGUAAAUCCCUGGAUGGACAUGUGGACAGCAGUGUGUACCCUCAAAACAAAGUUCCUAUACCAGACUACCACAGCCAAGAUGAGACUUCCUGAGUCGAGAGAACCUUGAGAGUGUCAGAGAUUUCUUCUCCAACAACAGUGGCCCAGGUCUCCUCAUUUCCAAUAGCAGCUUCCUCAGGAAUAUUCACUGUACACUGGCCUUCGUGAUCUGGACAUUUGACGUUGAGGUCCCACUGUCUAAAAUUUUCCUACAAAGUUUAUUGCCCGUGAAGAGAGACUUUUUUUUUAUUCAUAGAUUGCUGUUCAUGUAUUGGUAAAACCAGGCAGUCAUAUGGAGUUUGGUACUUCACCCUCGGACCAAGGGGGAUAACUCCAUAUUGAAUUAGAUCAUGGACCCCAGUCAUCACUGAAACUUCACAACUUUAUUUGGAAUCAUCUUUACUUUUAAAAUACAGCAAUCUGUGUGCGACGUUUGUAUCUGAAAAAGAGCUGGGCGGAGACACUUGUGUUACCACAUGAUUCUUAUUAAUACUCGCCAUAGUAACAAAAGAUGUUAGGCCUACUGAAAAAACUUCAGCCAGAACGCUCCUACGUAGUUCCCCAGACCAAUGUGGGAUAUCCAAGAUUACUUUAAAAAGGGAAACUUCAACAAAGGUAAACAUCUGGAGAAGCUGAAAGACAGAUCUGCAACAUGGUGAAACUGUUUUCUGCUUUCGGCAAGUUAUAGGACUGGCAUUAUUAACAGACAGUCAGUCAGUCACAGCAGGCAAAGCUCAGCAGUUUUGAAACCCAUGUCAACAGUGUUAAGCUUCAAGGAAAAAGAUUCAAGGAACUGUAUAGUAUCAUAUGACUCUGUAUAAAUCUCUCCAUGCAACAAAAGCGAUUUCUGGAACUAGAAGUAAUGAUGUUGGAGAGGCAAACAAUAUAAAUAAGACAACAGUAUCUCGGUCUUGUUGAAAAAGUGAUUUUUUCCUCUAUCGAGUGAUUAUGCCAAUAAUGCCAAGGCCAAUGACAUGGAUAGUGGUUUUUAAUGUUUAUAUACACGUGUAGUGAUCUGUAUUACCACAACAUAAACUAACAUUAUAAAUUGUAAAUUAUUGGAGAAGUCUUAUUUACAGUGUAACUUUUUUUGUAUGGAUUUCCUUUACAUGAGCAAGUAUUAAAUGAAUUAUAUUUUUAAUUCUAAAUGACAAAUUUUCAUCUGGUUAUUAAUGAUUAGACUUUAUGAUAAUAUGCCCCAAUGUGGGUUUCAAACUUGCAAUCCUGAAGUGAAGGGUUAUAAUGGAACAAUGUUGGGACACAUUAACCACUCAGCCACUCCAGACCCUGGCCCCUGGCAUGAUACAUUCUGAGUUGCAAAUAAAUUGUUUGAGAAUUAUCUAGUACAUUUCUGAAGGAAUUCUAGAACAAUUCAAGACUUUCUCAGAGGCCAUGUGAUUUACGCAUGUGCUCUUUUCGAGCAGAUUUUACAUGCGUGUAAUGCAUAUGAUAUGCAUAAUUUGCGCAUGUAGCUACACAUAAUCCAUGCAUUUGGAAAGUUACACACGAGACACAUGCGUAUUACGCACGAUAUUCAUAUGAACUUAACGCACAAUUUACGUGCAUGCUCUUUUCUGCUGAACCACGCAUGUCAAUUUUCUACGAUUACCAUGCGUUUUACGCAUGUGGCACAUGUGUGGCACUUUUGCCUGUGUAGCCAGAUGUUCUUCCAAAUGAGCUACCUGGUCACUGAUGAUCCAAUCAGUCCAGUUCCACAACAAAUGUAUACUCAUCAAGAUUGAGAAUCUUUCUGGGACUUAUCAAGAAAUAGAAAUAACUAAUUCAACCCAUCUGUCAAAUUCCACUAUUUGAUGAUGGCGGCAGCUAAAAAUCUAGUUAAUGGGAACCUUAGGGUUGUUAACUAGAUUAGCUAGAAAAUGUCUGCAAGAGGCCAAGCAGUUGUUUAUGUCUUUUUUAAGUGCAAUUAGAAAAAGUGAUGUCAAUUACUGGUAAACAAGAUUGUAGCUAAAACCAUGUGAUGUCUGGCCCCUCAGACAGAUUACAAUUAGUUCUACUAUAGGCUUUACUUUAACAUUGAAUUUCAUAAAGAAUUCCAAAACUUUAAUAGAAUAAGAAUAACUUCUGAGGUACAAAAUGUUAGUUUCAAACAUCAUGUUGGGCACUUUCUGGAGUUAGACAUCUACAUGGAUUCUACCAUCAAUCAAUGUAAGGGAGACACUCAUGGCCAAAGGAUCACCUGUAUUGAAGAGAAAUGGCAGACAAAUUAUUAAAGACAGUUUUGAACAUUAAAAGCAAAUUUACUGAAAAUUGUGUCACUAAAACAAAAUGAUUACCCAUAUAUGACUACCCAAUGAGGGAAAAUCCACAUCAGACAGUAUUUAUUUAAAUCCAUGAACUUGUGGUACACUAGCUAAUGCAGUCAUGAAGUUUUUGUUGUUUUUUUCAACUAAUCAACUUUCAAAUUCAACAUUCAGUUCAAACAGCAUGAUGGGAACUUUCUGGCAUUCGACAUCAAUACAUGUGUCACCAAUGUAGAAUACUGUGUAUACAUCCAGGUCAGAGGUCAAAACAGGACACAGUACAUGUGAUCCUGGAAUACAAAAUACAUAUUCAAUGAGAAUAAUUCCCGUAUCAAGGAUAAGAAAUACUAAACUGUAGUCCUAUUAUUGGACUUUAUUAUUUUCUGUUUUCAUUUUCCAAUCAUCUACUGUAUAUAUAAACAGUGGGACUAGUGUAUAGCUCACCUGCUACCAAUUAAAGUUGAUCUACUAGGCCAUUUAUGUACAUGCUACACUAAUUACCUCUUCAUUCAAAUUAUAGUCCUUAAUUCAUCUACACUACUUACCAAAUAUUUUGCCCAAAUUAACUCUCUUGCUUAUUCAGUGACCUUGAAAGUAUGUCAAGGUCAGACUUUUGACUAAACGUUGUACAAUAGUCCUUCUUCCCAACGUACUUCUUAGAACCAUAAUACAUGUAUCAUGACACUGAGCCUCUUCAGGUUCAUCAUAUUUGACACAUAUGUUUUCAAACACUUUAUACUUGCUACUGGCUCUGUAACUUGGUUCUUUUUGCUAUUGAGAACAAGUUUUAAAUGAUUUUAACACAUUUUCCCAAUAACCUUGAAUAUAGGUCAAGGUCAUUAAUUUGAACAAAUUUGCUAGUCAUUUAUCAUGCUAAAUUGACUGGCAAAAUAUCAGUAGGCCUACCCUCUGCUUUUUAAUGUUAUGAUAAUAAUUUGAUAUUUUAAGAUUAAAUUAUAGUUUAUAUACAACAAAUUUGCUUCCUGCUUUAUAGUUACGUUUUAUACACUGUAGUUUGAUUGUGUGUAUACAUGUUUUGUCUUUGCCAUGUGUAUGUCUUUCGGUACAUAUAGAUAUGUAAAUGAGAUGAGAAAGGUGUUGUUGAUUGACCAAUCAGCGUCCACUUUGGGGGUCACCCUGUUGGGUAUUUGGCACCCCACAGUAUAGUGUUCUGUUUCCACCCGCCAUCCUCUGCAGCAUCUUCUUUUUGUAUAUCUAUGUUCACUAUUGAGUAUUAUAAUUCUAUGUAUACCUUAUAGUCUUUUUAGCUAUAUCCAGCUGAAGUGUCAUGUAUAAGAGCUCGAGUAAACAUGUGUCUUACCUUGGGUUGUAAUUUGGGUUACUCACUCUUAACUGGGAAAUAGUUUAAUUUGUUUAGGCUUUUAAUUUAUGGAGUAUUUUGCCCUCAAUAUCAUAAUAGAAUAUAUUCUAUGACGGUAUGCUCCAGCUUCUCUCAUAUCGUUUAGGGUCUAGCUAGCAUAUACAGCUUCUGUGGAAGCGUCCAGGGUCUAGUCUCUUCUCUGUAUCCUUGGAGUCUGGAUCUUGUAGCUGCUCUGGGACACCUCAGAGUCAAUUUGUUUAGGUUUGGUAUUGAGUGAGUAGCCCCUGACACGCCAAAUGUUAUAACUGUAGUGAAUAAACAGGUAAACCGUU